rnacentral:lncRNA from 1 species
GUGUUCUAGUCUGAGAUUUCGUAGUACUGCUUCUAGACUGAGGAACAGUCUGUCUCACACUUCCAGGGACUAGCAGAGUUCUCCUGUGAAGGGCAUGGCUCUAUAGCAGGAGAGGUGAAGGGAGCUGAGUCAGGAGUCUGGGGAGGAGACUGGAACAUAGGCAGAACAGGCAGUAUGUGUUGCAGCAUGUUUGUGUGCUUGCCCGGCUGAACCAAAACACGCACACGUCGCUGCACACGCUCUCUGGGAGUUCAGCGCCGGAGUGCUGCACUGUGAAACUGCAGCAAUCUUGUGUGAAUGUGUGUGUACCUCCUUAGAGAAAGGCUGCAGUACACACUGACAAGGUGAGCCCACUGAAGGAGAAGUCUGCCACUGCAGAGAACGGAUCUGUCCACACUGAUUCAGUCAAAGCAGAGCCACAGGUGACUGCUGAUGAGGAAGAAAAGCCGCAAAGGCAAGAAGAGGAGGAUAAAGAGGAGCUAGAGUUUCCUCAUGAUCUGCUGACCAGCAUAGACCUUGACCUCAGCACUGAGCUCAGUCUCACCUGGGGAAUCUCACUUGGACCAUCUGAGAUCCACAGUUUGCCUCAGGCUGAACUAGAAUUCCGAACCCCAACUGAAGAAUAUUUUCCCCCUGCACCUGAAGAGAGUUUUCCCCCUGCACUUGAUGAGAGUUUCCCCCCUGCGCCUGAGGAGAGUUUUCACCCUUGGCCUGAGGAGAGUUUCCCCACUGCGCCUGAGGAGAGUUUUCCUCCUGCCCCUGUGGAGAGUUUUCCUCCUGCACCUGAGGAGAGUUUUCCUCCUGCUCCUGUGGAAAGUUUUUCUCCUGCACCUGAGGAGAGUUUUACCCCUGUUACUAAGCAGACAGAAGAACCACUAGACUGCAGGUGAGACCUCCUACAUGCUCCUUAUGCACUUUAUGCACUUAUGCAAUAAUCAUGAAAUUAUU